AGAGUUUGAUCCUGGCUCAGAACGAACGCUGGCGGCGCGCUUAACACAUGCAAGUCGAACGAGAAACCGCAAGGGAGUACAGUGGCGUACGGGUGAGUAACACGUGGGUAAUCUACCUUCGGGCUCCGAAUAACCCGCCGAAAGGCGGGCUAAUACGGGAUGAGACCACAGAUCUGCGGAUCAGGGGUUAAAGCGGGCGCAAGCUCGCACCGGAAGAUGAGCCUGCGCAGCAUUAGCUAGUUGGUGAGGUAACGGCUCACCAAGGCGACGAUGCUUAGCUGGUCUGAGAGGAUGAUCAGCCACACUGGAACUGAAACACGGUCCAGACACCUACGGGUGGCAGCAGUGGGGAAUCUUGCGCAAUGGACGAAAGUCUGACGCAGCGACGCCGCGUGGGCGAUGAAGGCCUUCGGGUCGUAAAGCCCUGUCAGCAGGGAGUAAGGUCGGUGACCUAACACGUCAUCGAAUUGAACGUACCUGCAGAGGAAGCACCGGCUAACUCUGUGCCAGCAGCCGCGGUAAUACAGAGGGUGCAAGCGUUGUUCGAAAUCAUUGGGCGUAAAGCGCAUGUAGGCGGCGCGACAAGUCUGAUGUGAAAUUCCUCGGCUCAACCGGGGAGGGUCAUUGGAUACUGUCGUGCUCGAGUGCCGGAGAGGGUGAUAGAAUUCCUGGUGUAGUGGUGAAAUACGUUGAUAUCAGGAGGAAUACCAGAGGCGAAGGCGGUCACCUGGACGGUCACUGACGCUGAGAUGCGAAGGUAUGGGUAGCAAACAGGAUUAGAUACCCUGGUAGUCCAUACAGUAAACGAUGGGUACUAGUCGUUGGGAGUCUUUACCCUCCCAGUGACGCAGCUAACGCAGUAAGUACCCCGCCUGGGGAGUACGGUCGCAAGAUUAAAACUCAAAGGAAUUGACGGGGGCCCGCACAAGCAGUGGAGCAUGUGGUUUAAUUCGACCACGCGAAGAACCUUACCUGGGUUUGACAUGCCCUUGACCGCCACAGAGAUGUGGUUUUGUAGCAAUACACAGGGGACACAGGUGCUGCAUGGCUGUCGUCAGCUCGUGUCGUGAGAUGUCGGGUUAAGUCCCUCAACGAGCGCAACCCUUGCCGUUAGUUGCUACCAUUUAGUUGAGCACUCUAGCGGGACUGCCGGAGUCAAUCCGGAGGAAGGUGGGGAUGACGUCAAGUCCUCAUGGCCCUUAUAUCCAGGGCUACACACGUGCUACAAUGGUAUCUACAGAGCGAAGCGAACCCGCGAGGGGGAGUCAACCGUUUAAAAGAUGCCUCAGUUCGGAUUGGAGUCUGCAACUCGACUCCAUGAAGUUGGAAUUGCUAGUAAUCGCGGAUCAGCACGCCGCGGUGAAUACGUUCCCGGGCCUUGUACACACCGCCCGUCACACCACGAAAGUUGUCCGAUCCUGAAGUCGGUGCGCUAACCGCAAGGAGGCAGCCGCCCACGGAACGGGGGAUGAUUGGGGUGAAGUCGAAACAAGGUA
rnacentral:rRNA from 1 species